rnacentral:rRNA from 1 species
UACGCAGGGGGCUAGCGUUGCUCGGAAUCACUGGGCGUAAAGCGCACGUAGGCGGGUCUUUAAGUCGGAGGUGAAAUCCUGGAGCUCAACUCCAGAACUGCCUUCGAUACUGAGGAUCUCGAGUCCGGGAGAGGUGAGUGGAACUGCGAGUGUAGAGGUGAAAUUCGUAGAUAUUCGCAAGAACACCAGUGGCGAAGGCGGCUCACUGGCCCGGUACUGACGCUGAGGUGCGAAGGCGUGGGGAGCAAACAGG